rnacentral:rRNA from 1 species
UACAGAGGUCUCGAGCGUUUGUUCGGAUUCAUUGGGCGUAAAGGGUGCGUAGGUGGCGCGGUAAGUCGGGUGUGAAAUCUUGGAGCUUAACUCCGAAACUGCAUUCGAUACUGCCGUGCUUGAGGACUGGAGAGGAGACUGGAAUUUACGGUGUAGCGGUGAAAUGCGUAGAUAUCGUAAGGAAGACCAGUGGCGAAGGCGGGUCUCGUGGACAGUUCCUGACGCUGAGGCACGAAGGCCAGGGGAGCAAACGGG